UGGCACUGCUCCCCGGAGCUGCAGCCCGGUGCAGGCGCGGCCUCUCCACCAGACUGAGGGCCCGCGGAAGGGUUCGCGCGCUGCCGCGGUUCCCGCCGCGUUCCAGGAGAGGCACAAACACUUGUGACUAGUGGCGUUUCCACGAACAGUGGCAACAGUCGCUGUGCGCCGGUUACUUCUGGGGGUUGCCACCUGGCCACUGCUUUGCCAAUGAAGUACAUCCUGGUCACUGGUGGGGUCAUCUCUGGCAUCGGCAAAGGGAUCAUCGCCAGCAGCAUCGGGACCAUCCUCAAGUCAUGCGGGCUCCGGGUUACAGCUAUCAAGAUCGACCCCUAUAUUAACAUCGAUGCGGGGACCUUCUCGCCCUAUGAGCACGGCGAAGUGUUUGUCUUAAAUGAUGGUGGAGAAGUUGAUCUGGAUCUUGGAAAUUAUGAGAGAUUCUUGGAUAUUAAUCUUUAUAAAGACAACAACAUCACCACUGGAAAGAUCUAUCAUCACGUGAUCAAGAAGGAGCGGCGCGGAGACUACCUGGGGAAGACAGUGCAAGUUGUCCCCCACAUCACUGAUGCCAUCCAGGAGUGGGUCAUGAAUCAGUCCAAGGUGCCAGUGGAUGGGAACCCAGAAGAGCCCCAGAUCUGCGUCAUAGAGCUGGGAGGCACCAUUGGAGACAUUGAGGGCAUGCCGUUCGUGGAAGCCUUCAGACAGUUCCAGUUCAAGGCGAAGAGAGAGAAUUUCUAUAACAUCCAUGUCAGCCUGGUCCCUCAGCCCAGUGCCACUGGGGAACAGAAAACCAAGCCCACACAGAACAGUGUCCGUGCGCUGAGGGGGCUGGGCCUGUCUCCGGAUCUGAUCAUGUGCCGAAGCUCCACGCCCAUCGAGAUGGCCGUGAAGGAGAAGAUCUCCAUGUUUUGUCACGUGAAACCCGAACAGGUCAUGUGUAUCCAUGACGUGUCCUCCACGUACCGAGUGCCCGUGCUCCUGGAGCAGCAAGGCAUUGUGAAGCACUUCAAGGAGCGGCUGGACCUGCCCGUGGGCGACUCCUCAAGCGGCCUGCUGCUGCAGUGGGGGAACAUGGCCGACAGGUAUGAAAGGCUGCAGAAAACCUGCUCCAUAGUCCUGGUUGGGAAGUACACCAAGCUCCGGGACUGCUAUGCGUCCGUGUUCAAGGCCCUGGAGCACUCAGCCCUGGCUGUCAACCACAAGCUCAACCUCAUGUAUAUAGACUCCAUUGACCUGGAGCAGGACACCAACGCCCAGGACCCCGUGAGAUUCCACGAAGCCUGGCAGAAGCUGUGCACAGCCGACGGUAUCCUUGUGCCUGGAGGCUUUGGACUCAGAGGAACAUUGGGGAAAAUGCAGGCGAUUUCUUGGGCAAGGACAAAGAAGAUUCCCUUUCUGGGAGUCUGCCUCGGGAUGCAGCUGGCUGUGAUAGAGUUUGCGCGAAAUUGCCUAGACAUGAAAGAUGCUAAUUCCACAGAGUUUGAGCCCAGCACCCCCAUCCCUUUGGUGAUCGACAUGCCGGAACACAACCCUGGCGAGCUGGGCGGGACCAUGAGGCUGGGACUAAGAAAAACUGUCUUCAAAACCCAGAAUUCAGUACUGAGGAAACUGUACGGCGACGUCCCUUUCAUAGAGGAGAGACACAGGCAUCGGUACGAGGUGAACCCUAGCAUGAUCAGCCACUUUGAGCAGAAAGACCUGGCCUUCGUGGGUCAGGAUGUUGAUGGGAACCGGAUGGAAGUCAUCGAACUAGCAAAUCAUCCCUAUUUCGUUGGCGUCCAGUUCCACCCUGAGUUUUCUUCCAGGCCGAUGAAGCCUUCGCCUCCCUACCUGGGGCUCCUGCUCGCAGCCACAGGGAACUUGCAUGCCUACCUGCAGCAGAUGGGCCUGCCGCCCCCCAGUGGUGAAAACAUCGACAAGAGCGAUGAUGGCUUUGCCGGGUCCAGGAUGGCUGAGCUGGAGAUUAGCUGACUCGAGUACAGCUCCGAGUGAAGGGCUGCUGGCGAGGUCAGAGUGCUGGUGAAGGAACUGUCUGAAGAAGUCCACGCACACCCAGAGUCGCUGUUCACCACACUGGAUGUAGAGGAUCGGCCGGACUCUGGGGAGCUUCCUCCUGGGAACCGGAAGCCAGGGGGUUUGCCCUUUCUUCCUGGGCGGCCCUUGCUGGGGGUCAAACGCAGGGCCUUGAAUGUGCUGGGUCACCAUUUUCUCCCUCUUGGCCCGAGCAUGUGUGUUGCAGACAGCUGUUCUGGGUUCCAAGCCCAACCUCUGUUUCCUCUUCCUAAGAAGAAUUGAAGAAUCCCUCUGAGCCAUUUGGGCUCAGAUGGUUUGGGCAGAGCAACAGGCAUUGGCCUUCACCUCCCGCCUCUCUCAGGUCCUGCAGUGCCAGCUCACGCUGACCUUUGCAGUCCGUGGCUCUGUCUGGGGCCCGGGGAAUUCAUUUUGUGGCACGCUGGAAGUGGAAGCAAAGGGAAGCAAGUUGGCCCCGCUGUAGUUGGAAACCUGGCGUCCUGUGCCCUCCGCUCGUGGGCUUCCUAUGGGUGCUGUGCAAAGGGUGCCUCCUGCACCAUGCAGAUGGCUGUGUCUAGCUUUUGAGUUUUGCUGGGCUUGCACAAUCCCAAUCAAGCUUUUUAAAGGGGAACAGGAAAGACAGUUUAUUGAGCAGUAUGUAAAUUUCAUCAUCAGAUAUAGUUGCUUAUGAGCUCAAGCAUGGUCUCCCUCCUUUAGAUUUCCCUGACAGUCCCCUAAUUCAGUCAAGGUCCAACUAGGUGCGCCUUCCUUUGGGCUUUGAUUUUUUUGGUACGGGGGACUGAACUCGGGACCUUGGGCUUGCAAGGCAGGUGGGGCACCACUGAGCUAACUCCCUGGUCCUAAUUAGCUAUCUCGUAGGCAGUUAGACUGGGCUGGCCCUCGAGCAGCCAACAAGGAGGACAAUCAAGUCACAUUAACUGAAGGCCAGUGUUGUAAAAGAAGAGGGAAUCUACUAUACCAGAUUGCUUCCCCUAGGGAUGAAUAGCAUUGAUUGAUAUUCUAAAUAGGUAUCAAUCACCUGGGUGGGGGACCAAGAUUUUAACCUACCCCUUCCAGGAAAGAUCUCUGACCCAUUCCUUACCUGAAAUCCUUGCUCAUUCCGUGAACCUUACUUCCCCAUUGGAUCCCCAUUUAAUCAAUAUUACCUAAGCGAGUAUAAUCUUAUUGGUUGAUCAUAGUUUUGUCCCACCUUGUGAUUUCCCACUGGAUCAAUACUACCUAAGUGACUGUACUUGUAAUCUUACUAGUUGACAAUAGUUUUGUCCCACCUUGAACCUGCCUCACUUCGUGAGGCUUUGCUCCAUAAAAACCCCACGGGAAAUAGGGUCCCCAGGCAACCCAUUUUCUGGUCUCCUUUCUGUCUCUCUUAGGUAGAUACUAUCUUUCUCUCAAUAAAUGUUUCCUACUCUCUCUCUCUCUUUUUUUUUUGUGGUACUGGGGUUUGAACUCAGGACCUUGUGCUUGCAAGACAGCCUCGGUGCCACUGAGCUAAAUCCCUGGCCCCAAAUGUUUCCUACUCUUAACCUCCAUUGUUCUAGAAUUCAUUCUUCAAUUUUAGAGAACAUGAAGUCACGUUUCAGAUAUCUAGCAGGUUUGGGAGUUACAUCUCUUCUCCCUAUAUCAGUGUGAUACUCCUGCCCCAGCUUUCUCAGUGCUGAGAUUACAGGCACACAUUACCACACCUGGUUUGUGGGUUUUCUUUCUUUUUUUUGGUACUGGGGAUCGAACUCGGGUCCUUGUACUUGCUCAGCAGGCGGCGAAACCACUGAGCUAAAUCCCCGGCCAGCACUCUGCAUUCUUAAAACUCAACAUCAAGUUCUCUGUGAUAUUCUCUUUAAAGCUUUUAUUAUUUCAGGGAAGUUAUAUGACAGAAGGCUACUGGCAGCUUAUGUAUUUCCAGUGAGGCCUGUUUUAGCCCAUCGUUUGUAGAUUCUCCUGAAAAAGAAAUUUC